rnacentral:lncRNA from 1 species
UGCAUUUAGGUUGUGAGCUUUGGGGAGAAACGCCUGUUCCUUUCAUGACUCCUCCCAUUCCCUCAAGACAAAAUGAUUUGGAAGGGUUGGUUGUUCUUCCUCCGAUGCAUCUUCUCAACUCUCACUCACUUAUUUCUAUCUAUGUCUUAUAUUUUAGGCUCAUGAGAUGUUGGCAUGUUCAGAAUAUUUUCAAGUGAGGGUACACUUGAAAAUUCAGCUGUCCUCCACAAAGUACUUCAUGGGUGUGAGAAGACACAAAGUGUGGUGUAACUCUUAUAAAGCC